AGCGAACGCUGGCAGCAAGCUUAACACAUGCAAGUCGAACGCCCAGCAAUGGGAGUGGCGGACGGGUGUAUAACACGUGGGAAUCUACCUUUCAGUACGGAAUAACUCAGGGAAACUUGUGCUAAUACCGUAUAAUGUCUCCGGACCGAAGAUUUAUCGCUGAAAGAUGAGCCCGCGGCAGAUUAGCUAGUUGGUGGGGUAAUGGCCUACCAAGGCAACGAUCUGUAGCUGGUCUGAGAGGAUGAUCAGCCACACUGGGACUGAGACACGGCCCAGACUCCUACGGGAGGCAGCAGUGGGGAAUAUUGGACAAUGGGCGCAAGCCUGAUCCAGCUAUGCCGCGUGAAUGAUGAAGGCCUUCGGGUUGUAAAGUUCUUUUAGGUGGGAAGAUUAUGACGGUACCACCAGAAAAAGCUCCGGCUAACUUCGUGCCAGCAGCCGCCGUAA
rnacentral:rRNA from 1 species